rnacentral:lncRNA from 1 species
AUAGCACACUGGAACACUGUUCAGUCCCAUUCAAAAUAAACAAUGUGAAUUAUCUACAGAUCGCACGAGUGUUCAGACACCGACUACAUUACUUGCCCCCAAUCGCUUUGCCUUUUUUAUAUAUAUAUAUAUAUUAGAGCUGUCAAGCGAUUAAAAUAUUUAAUCGUGAUUAAUCGCAUUAAUGUCAUAGUUUACUCACGAUUAAUCGCGAUUAAUCGCAAAUUAUUUUUCUAUGCUAAAUAUCCCUUGAUUUUUUUGUCCCAUAAUUCUUCUCAUUUUAAUUAUCUUAUCAACAUGGUGAAGUGCAUCGGCUUGCCUUGUGCAAAUGAUUUUUGGCAUAUACUGAUCAAAACAGGACGAUACAAAAAAAGAGCCUAUAGUGCAAUUAAACGACUGCUUUGAACAAAUGUCAUUUGAACAUAGCAGUCAGCUUCUAUGUUUUGAGCCAAAGAAAAAAAUACAUAUAUAUAUAUUUUUUAAAUAAAACAAUUGCGUUAAUCGUGCGAUCAUUUUUUUAACGCCGUUAAAAUUGGUUUGCGUUAACGCCGUUAAUAACGAUAUGUAUUUGGAUGAUGGAUCACAGGUUCUGCCACUCCUGAAAGAAAGGCCUUGCCUUAGGGUCCUUCUUGAUAUGCCCGAAGAACCCAGCGAUGUCCCAGCUACCCUCGGCUACCCUCCUGAAACCCAACUACUCUGUUCUGGGAAGUAACAAAAGACCAAGAGAGGAGUUAAUGGUGGUUAAGUUCAGAGAGUUUCUUCACUGUGUACAAGAGAAGGAGCUUGGGGAACAUCUUAACGGCAGGAACCUCACUGAGGCAGAAAAUGCGUUUAUCCUGACAUUGAAUCCUGGACACAUCCUAGCCUUUGCAACGGGAAGCAGCAAAGUUCCUGCAAUUGGAUGUUCUCCCAGUCCAAAACUGACUUUUGUUCAUGAUGACACGAAGCACCUCCUCAUUGCUCACACCUGCUCAAAUGAGCUUCAGAUCUUUGUUAAUAGAAAGAAUCUGGCAGAUGACGAUGAAUUUGAUUACAAUUGUCUGGUGGCUCUCAUGCAUGGAUCAAUUUUUAGUGCUGUGUAGUCUCGAAAAAAAAUGCUUGGACUGUACAUUUGGAGCCCAGAUCUUUUAAUGGGUGGACUUGUUUAGAAUCUGGUGUAGCAUGUUGUUUGAGUUAAAAUGUUGUUUCGCCUAAACUCUGAUCUGAACUAUGUGUCGUAUAUAGUUUGGACGACAGUUUACUCGUGUUUUUAUUAAUUAUUCUCAGGUGUGUUGUCUGAUUAAUAUUCAUUGUUCAUUUUAGCUGUAUCAGACAGACUAUUGUUUUCAUUCCGUUUAAUUAUUUAAAUGCAGUAUUUCAAAUAAGUGCCCAGUUCCUAUAGACUCACAGGUGUGAGUUAAAAUAAAAUAUAUCUUUGCACACGAUCACGUUCCAAAUCCCUACUUUCUUGACUUUUCCUAAAUAUGUUUGUUGCACCACCCUGUGUUCAUACUUUUUUUUUUCAGACCGGGAAAGCUAUUAUAUAGCAUUUUUUAUGUAUUCCUAUGUAAUUGGUUUUUUUUCCA